GACGAACGCUGGCGGCGUGCUUAACACAUGCAAGUCGAACGGAAAGGCCCUGCUUUUGUGGGGUGCUCGAGUGGCGAAAGGGUGAGUAACACGUGAGUAACCUGCGCUUGACUUUGGGAUAACUUCAGGAAACUGGGGCGAAUACCGGAUAGGAGCUCCUGCUGCAUGGUGGGGGUGGGAAAGUGUCGGCGGUUGGGGAUGGACUCGCGGCUUAUCAGCUUGUUGGUGGGGUAGUGGCUUACCAAGGCUUUGACGGGUAGCCGGCCUGAGAGGGUGACCGGCCACAUUGGGACUGAGAUGCGGCCCAGACUCCUACGGGAGGCAGCAGUGGGGAAUAUUGCAAAAUGGGCGGAGGCCGGAUGCAGCAACGCCGCGUGCGGGAUGACGGCCUUCGGGUUGUAAACCGCUUUCGCCUGUGACGAAGCGUGAGUGACGGUAAUGGGUAAAGAAGCACCGGCUAACUACGUG
rnacentral:rRNA from 1 species